GAAAUGUUUUGUUAGCCAUCAGGCAAACUGAAAAUAGAUUUAGAAAGUAUUUAAGAUUCAUUUUUUCAAUGCACAGUAAUUGAGAAACCUGUAUGUGCCAGGCACUGUGUUAGCAUUGGAGCUCUAAAGGGCAUGAAGCUGAAUGUGAUAGAUAGGAUCUUUACCUUCAGGGUACAGUCUAGUAACACAUAGAAGGACUGAGACCAAUAGCCAUGUUGAGGAGGAGACAUCCUUCUCCCAUCACCUUCAUUACUCCACCUGCUGCUCGUGAAGGUUGCUGCAGGAAGUGCUGAUUAACUUGUGUUUUGGUCGAAAUCUGAAGUGAUGCUGAAUCUUCAUCCUUUAAUGUUGUGUGUUUUAUUGUUGCACAAUUUUAUCAUGCAUCAUGUGAACUUUUAUGCUUAUGGUGUGUAUCAUCACAGCACUGGACAAUAAUGACUCACACAGUAGAAUAACAUAACUGUAUACUUGCAUCAAGGGUAGUUAAAACAUGGUAAGCUUUUCUCAUGUCUUUAUUAAUAAUGAUUAAAAAAUUAAUUAUUCACCUCUGA
rnacentral:lncRNA from 1 species